UACCAUUCAGUUGAGGACGUCUAACUGAGACUGCCAACGACAAGUUGGAGGAAGGUGGGGAUGACGUCAAAUCAGCACGGCCCUUAUAUCCAGGGCUACACACGUGUUACAAUGGUCGGUACAAAGAGCAGCCACUUGGUGACAAGGCGCUAAUCUCAAAAGCCCGAUCUCAGUUCGGAUCGAAGUCUGCAACUCGACUUCGUGAAGUUGGAAUCGCUAGUAAUCGCAGAUCCAGCAGGCUGCGGUGAAUACGUUCCCGGGCCCUU
rnacentral:rRNA from 1 species